rnacentral:lncRNA from 1 species
UUGUGUCUGACUCUUUGCAACCCCAUGGACUGUACCCACAAGGCUCCUCUGUCUGUGAAUUCUCCAGGCAAGAAUGCUGGAGCAGGUUGCCAUUUCCUUCUCCAGGGGAUCUUCUCGACCCAGGGACUGAACCGCAGUCUCCUGCUUUGGCAGGGGGAUUCUUUACCAUCUGGGCCACCAGGGAAGCCUGUUGGGUUGAGAUGCUCCCUUGGUCUUUUUCCAUCCCUCUCUAUCCCACUACCCCAUCUGUAACUCCGGUUUGUUCAUGCACAGGAGGGAGAACUCUGACCACUCCACUCCCAUAUUGCACUCCGAGAAAGCUGAGGCCCACAUGGGCCCAAGGAAAGGACUCAUUUUUUCCACAUGCCCUGGCACAUGAGGACCCAGAAGCUACAGGAAAGGUGCCUGAGGAAGCGGCAGGCUGGGUGGGGACCCCCAUGGAACUGGAUCGAAGACUGGAGGCUGUGUGACCAGAACCUGCUCAAGGAAGAUGUCAGGAGCAUCUCUGAGUUAGCCUCCAGGGCAACAAAUUAUACUCAGCCCACCUACUCAGGACACACUGACCUGGCUGGUGCGGAGAAGUUCUGCCCCUUGCCCCUGCACCCAAGGAUGGAUAUAAAGACAGGUAGGCAAGUGUUGAAGGGGUGGAUGAUGGCAUGGGUGGCUGGAGGAAGAGGAGGAGAGGAGAGGUAGAAGGAGAUGGGUAAUGAGGAGCAAGUUUUACCUCCAGCAGGGCUCAGAGAUAUGUAUCUGCAGAAUUGGAACAAGCCACCUGGGGAUUAAAGAGCAGGAUGAAGCAUCAAUUAUAACCUCCCUUGGCGCUGCCUCUUGACAUGUGACACAGGCCUUGGAUUGUCCUUAUGCUGACCUCUGCCGGACACUAGUGCUCCCAUUAGUGGCGGGAGGCAGGGGACCUGGAGAGGAUCACAAACCCCAGGCAUUCUCCGGCACCAGUCAGGUCCUCCUCCUACGUAUAAUGAGCAGGGUGGACUGAGUAGCUUCUGAAACCAUUCUAGUUUUAAGAUUUUGUGGUUCUGGAUCUGAGCAAUUUGAUACUGAUUGAUGAUUCACACUCAAAUCCUAAAGGUAAUUGUAGUCUAGGAUGCCCCAUUAAGUGUCAGGUAAGUAAAACAAUUAUUUACCCUCAAAGUUCAGCAUUAAGCAACAACUGCUAGUGGAAAAUACUUUUAAUACCUUUAUUAUCUCUGCAAACCCAAAUCGGAUGGGAAAGAAAAGAAGAAUGGCUGCUUCAUCAGAGGGAGAGCAGCACGAUGGGGUGAAGGCCUGCCUAGCAGGCCCUGCCUACACCUUUCUUACCAGUGCCUGGCAUGUGCUAGAGGCUCCAUCAAUGUUUGUUGAAUUAAAUUGACUUGAAUGAAACACCCCUACAUAUUUUUUAGUGCUUGUUAGAGAUUGAUAGUUCUCUCUUUAAAUCAUUCCCUUUUCUAUGUUUAUAGAAUUCCCACUUUUUUGAGCACGUGACUACUCAGAUUAAAAACUGCUUUUCUUAGUCAUCCUGAAA